AGUACGGCGGAACACGAGAAAUUCCGUCGGAAUCCGCGGGGACCAUCCCGCAAGGCUAAAUACUCCCUAGUGACCGAUAGUGAACCAGUACCGUGAGGGAAAGGUGAAAAGCACCCCGGAAGGGGAGUGAAAUAGAUCCUGAAACCGUGUGCCUACAACAAGUCAAAGCUCGUUAAUGAGUGAUGGCGUGCCUUUUGUAGAAUGAACCGGCGAGUUACGAUUGCAUGCGAGGUUAAGUCGAAGAGACGGAGCCGCAGCGAAAGCGAGUCUGAAUAGGGCGAAUGAGUAUGUAGUCGUAGACCCGAAACCAUGUGAUCUACCCAUGUCCAGGUUGAAGGUGCGGUAAAACGCACUGGAGGACCGAACCCACGUACGUUGAAAAGUGCGGGGAUGAGGUGUGGGUAGCGGAGAAAUUCCAAACGAACUUGGAGAUAGCUGGUUCUCUCCGAAAUAGCUUUAGGGCUAGCCUCGGAAUUGAGAAUGAUGGAGGUAGAGCACUGUUUGGACUAGGGGCCCAUCUCGGGUUACCGAAUUCAGAUAAACUCCGAAUGCCAUUCAUUUAUAUCCGGGAGUCAGACUGCGAGUGAUAAGAUCCGUAGUCGAAAGGGAAACAGCCCAGACCACCAGCUAAGGUCCCAAAAUAUAUGUUAAGUGGAAAAGGAUGUGGGGUUGCACAGACAACUAGGAUGUUGGCUUAGAAGCAGCCACCAUUUAAAGAGUGCGUAAUAGCUCACUAGUCGAGUGACCCUGCGCCGAAAAUGUACCGGGGCUAAACAUAUUACCGAAGCUGUGGACUACACCAUUAGGUGUAGUGGUAGGAGAGCGUUCUAAGGGCGUUGAAGGUCGAUCGUGAGGACGGCUGGAGCGCUUAGAAGUGAGAAUGCCGGUAUGAGUAGCGAAAGACAGGUGAGAAUCCUGUCCACCGUAUGACUAAGGUUUCCUGGGGAAGGCUCGUCCGCCCAGGGUUAGUCGGGACCUAAGCCGAGGCCGAUAGGCGUAGGCGAUGGACAACAGGUUGAUAUUCCUGUACCAGUUGUUUUUGUUUGAGCAAUGGAGGGACGCAGUAGGCUAAGGAAUGCAUGCGAUUGGAAGUGCAUGUCCAAGCAAUGAGUCUUGAGUAGAGUUAAAUGCUUUACUCUCUAAGGACAAGUUGUGACGGGGAGCGAAAUAAUAGUAGCGAAGUUCCUGAUGUCACACUGCCAAGAAAAGCUUCUAGUGAGAAAACAACUGCCCGUACCGUAAACCGACACAGGUAGUCGAGGAGAGUAUCCUAAGGUGAGCGAGCGAACUCUCGUUAAGGAACUC
rnacentral:rRNA from 1 species